rnacentral:rRNA from 1 species
UACGAAGGUGGCAAGCGUUACUCGGAAUUACUAGGCGUAAAGGGCAGGUAGGUGGUUUGGUAAGUCUGUUGUGUAAGCUCCCGGCUUAACUGGGAGAGGUCAACAGAAACUACCAGACUUGAGUAUAGGAGAGGUUACUGGAAUUCCCGGUGUAGCGGUGAAAUGCGCAGAGAUCGGGAGGAACACCAAUGGCGAAAGCAGGUAACUGGACUAUUACUGACACUAAGCUGCGAAAGCUAGGGGAGCAAACAGG